UUAUUGAGGACUUACUGGGAUUUACUUACCCUAGUAAGUAAGCCAAGGGAGUCCCUGGCUCCCUCCCUCACAGGCCAGGGAGCAAAGCUCAUGAAAUGUGCCCACUUGCCCCGGGAGCACAUGAAGGAGAAGAGGACUGGCCAGAUCUAGCACUGACACAGCAAGAGAUGUAGGCUUGGCUGCACUCAGACUUCUAGGGUGAAGGCCUAUAACCAGCAGAGCUCUGAAGCAGAAAGUGAAUGCCUUCGUGAACAGUCUUGCCUGCCAUGCUUUCCCCAAGGAGAAGGUAGAGGAGGGAGCAGACCUCUGCCAAAGACUGUGGCUUGGAUGUUCUGGGAUGAACAGGAAGCAACAGGGAGUUGUCUCGCUGUGUUACGGGUCUACAAACUUCUAGUUCAGUGGAGAGGAAAUUUGCCUGAACACCUUUGUCACUUAAAAUACCUCAAAACUGAGCACAUCUGAAGAAGGCAGCCAUCUAUUAAGGUACUUCCUG
rnacentral:lncRNA from 12 species